GCCAGCAUAAUGUAGUGGUUAGAGCAUUGGACUAUUACUCUGGAGGCCAGGGUUCGUAUCCUGGUUUUGCCA